rnacentral:tRNA from 1 species
GCGGGGGUUGUAGUUGGAGACGCGGGACUUAAGAUCCCGUCCCUCAGGGGUCCGUGGGUUCAAAUCCCACCCCCCGCACCA